rnacentral:rRNA from 1 species
GACGAACGCUGGUUGCGUGCUUAACACAUGCAAGUCGAACGGAAAGGCCCUGCUUUUGUGGGGUGCUCGAGUAGCGAACGGGUGAGUAACACGUGAGUAACCUGCCCUUGACUUUGGGAUAACUUCAGGAAACUGGGGCUAAUACCGGAUAGGAGCUCCUGCUGCACGGUGGGGGUUGGAAAGUUUCGGCGGUUGGGGAUGGACUCGCGGCUUAUCAGCUUGUUGGUGGGGUAGUGGCUUACCAAGGCUUUGACGGGUAGCCGGCCUGAGAGGGUGACCGGCCACAUUGGGACUGAGAUACGGCCCAGACUCCUACGGGAGGCAGCAGUGGGGAAUAUUGCACAAUGGGCGGAAGCCUGAUGCAGCAACGCCGCGUGCGGGAUGACGGCCUUCGGGUUGUAAACCGCUUUCGCCUGUGACGAAGCGUGAGUGACGGUAAUGGGUAAAGAAGCACCGGCUAACUACGUGCCAGCAGCCGCGGUGAUACGUAGGGUGCGAGCGUUGUCCGGAUUUAUUGGGCGUAAAGGGCUCGUAGGUGGUUGAUCGCGUCGGAAGUGUAAUCUUGGGGCUUAACCCUGAGCGUGCUUUCGAUACGGGUUGACUUGAGGAAGGUAGGGGAGAAUGGAAUUCCUGGUGGAGCGGUGGAAUGCGCAGAUAUCAGGAGGAACACCAGUGGCGAAGGCGGUUCUCUGGGCCUUUCCUGACGCUGAGGAGCGAAAGCGUGGGGAGCGAACAGGCUUAGAUACCCUGGUAGUCCACGCUGUAAACGGUGGGUACUAGGUGUGGGGUCCAUUCCACGGGUUCCGUGCCGUAGCUAACGCUUUAAGUACCCCGCCUGGGGAGUACGGCCGCAAGGCUAAAACUCAAAGGAAUUGACGGGGCUCCGCACAAGCGGCGGAGCAUGCGGAUUAAUUCGAUGCAACGCGUAGAACCUUACCUGGGUUUGACAUGGAUCGGGAGCGCUCAGAGAUGGGUGUGCCUCUUUUGGGGUCGGUUCACAGGUGGUGCAUGGCUGUCGUCAGCUCGUGUCGUGAGAUGUUGGGUUAAGUCCCGCAACGAGCGCAACCCUUGUUCACUGUUGCCAGCACGUUAUGGUGGGGACUCAGUGGAGACCGCCGGGGUCAACUCGGAGGAAGGUGGGGAUGACGUCAAGUCAUCAUGCCCCUUAUGUCCAGGGCUUCACGCAUGCUACAAUGGCUGGUACAGAGAGUGGCGAGCCUGUGAGGGUGAGCGAAUCUCGGAAAGCCGGUCUCAGUUCGGAUUGGGGUCUGCAACUCGACCUCAUGAAGUCGGAGUCGCUAGUAAUCGCAGAUCAGCAACGCUGCGGUGAAUACGUUCCCGGG